GUGAUAGGGUACUUUUUGUAGAACGGUCCGGCGAGCGAUUGUAUGCAGCAAGGUUAAGGACUUAAGGUCUGGAGCCGAAGCGAAAGCGAGUUUGAAAAGGGCGUUAAGUUGCAUAUAAUGGGCCCGAAACCGGGUGACCUACCCAUGGUCAGGUUGAAGUGGAAGUAAAAUUCCAUGGAGGACCGAACCGACCUCCGUUGAAAAGGCGGCGGAUGAACUGUGGGUAGCGGAGAAAUUCCAAUCGAACCCGGAGAUAGCUGGUUCUCCCCGAAAUAGUUUUAGGACUAGCCUCAAGUUAGAUACCUGGAGGUAAAGCACUGAAUAGCCUAGCGGCCGAGAGGUUAGCGAAGCUUAUCAAACUCAGAAUGCCAGAGUAUUGAUGCUUGGGAGUCAGACAGUGUCAGAUAAAUGUCAUUGUCAAAAGGGAAACAGCCCAGAUCUACAGCUAAGGUCCCAAAGUCAGGUUAAGUGGAAAACGAUGUGAAGAUACGCAGACAACCAGGAUGUUGGCUCAGAAGCAGCCACUCAUUCAAAGAGUGCGUAAUAGCUCACUGGUCGAGCGUCUUUGCGCGGAGAAUUUAACGGGGCUAAACCUGACACCGAAGCUUAGGCAAUACAGCAAUGUAUUGGGUAGGGGAGCGUUGUAUACGCGGAGAAACAGUAGCGUAAGCGGCUGUGGAGUGUAUAGAAGUGAGAAUGCCGGAAUGAGUAGCGCGAAUGCAGUGAGAAUCUGCAUGGCCGAAAGCCUCAGGUUUCUGGAGGAAGGUUCGUCCGCUCCAGGUUAGUCGGGAGCUAAGGUGAGGCCGGAAGGCGUAGCCGAUGCACAGACGGUAGAGAUUCCGUCACCACCAAAAGAGUUAAGCACAGGGACACAUAUGAAGUCUCAGAGCCGGGUGUUGGUUCCGGUAGAGAUCGAGGGAAAUUAGUACCGAAGUCUGAGAUGGAAGAUGGCGAGAAAAGCUGUGUGUAUUUCUGAGGUGCCCGUACCGCAAACCGACACAGGUAGGUAGGAAGAAGAUUCUAAGGCCAACGGGAGAAGGGUUGUUAAGGAACUCGGCAAAUUGACCCCGUAACUUCGGGAGAAGGGGUGCUCCAGAGAUGGAGCCGCAGAGAAUCGGCCCAAGCAACUGUUUACCAAAAACACAGGUUUGUGCUAAAUCGAAAGAUGACGUAUACGAGCUGACGCCUGCCCGGUGCUGGAAGGUUAAGAGGAGAUGUGCAAGCAUUGAAUCGAAGCCCCAGUGAACGGCGGCCGUAACUAUAACGGUCCUAAGGUAGCGAAAUUCCUUGUCAGGUAAGUUCUGACCCGCAUGAAAGGCGUAAUGAUUUGGGCACUGUCUCAACAGCCCGCCCGGCGAAAUUGUAGUACCGGUGAAGAUGCCGGUUACCCGCGACAAGACGGAAAGACCCCAUGGAGCUUUACUGUAGCCUAAUAUUGGGUUUCGAUGUUGCAUGCACAGGAUAGAUGGGACUCU
rnacentral:rRNA from 1 species